CGAAGCAUGAAUAAUAAAGGUUACUGUAUAGCUCAUACAGGAAAUUCAACGUCUAAGUAGGUCACAUACAAGCGAUAAUGAGUGAAAUUCUAAAGGACUAGCGUCACCCGCGCAGGGCCAACUUUGAAGUAACUUAAACCCAACAGCCCCAUCUUCUCGCUAUGGACAGGAGGCACGGUAGGAUUCCCUUAAUCCACUCCAGGAGUACGAUCCAUUGCCAGCCAUAGAGACAAUGAUUAUAAAUGUUAAAUUAAAAAAAUAUAUCAAAAGUUUGCCGUAGUAACUACCGUUUCAUACAUAAAAAAAUUAUUAUUUUA